UACAGAGGUCCCAAGCGUUGUUCGGAUUUACUGGGCGUAAAGGGCGCGUAGGCGGCCACCGCAAGUCGACUGUGAAAUCUCCGGGCUUAACCCGGAAAGGUCAGCCGAUACUGCGGGGCUAGAGUGCAGAAGGGGCAACUGGAAUUCUCGGUGUAGCGGUGAAAUGCGUAGAUAUCGAGAGGAACACCUGCGGCGAAGGCGGGUUGCUGGGCUGACACUGACGCUGAAGCGCGAAAGCUAGGGGAGCGAACGGG
rnacentral:rRNA from 1 species